AACGAACGCUGGCGGCAUGCCUAACACAUGCAAGUCGAACGAAGGCUUCGGCCUUAGUGGCGCACGGGUGCGUAACGCGUGGGAAUCUGCCCUUGGGUUCGGAAUAACUCAGAGAAAUUUGAGCUAAUACCGGAUGAUGACGUAAGUCCAAAGAUUUAUCGCCCAAGGAUGAGCCCGCGUAGGAUUAGCUUGUUGGUGAGGUAAAGGCUCACCAAGGCGACGAUCCUUAGCUGGUCUGAGAGGAUGAUCAUCCACACUGGGACUGAGACACGGCCCAGACUCCUACGGGAGGCAGCAGUGGGGAAUAUUGGACAAUGGGCGAAAGCCUGAUCCAGCAAUGCCGCGUGAGUGAUGAAGGCCUUAGGGUUGUAAAGCUCUUUUACCCGGGAUGAUAAUGACAGUACCGGGAGGAAUAAGCUCCGGCUAACUCCGUG
rnacentral:rRNA from 1 species